rnacentral:rRNA from 1 species
UGGGGAAUAUUGGACAAUGGGCGAAAGCCUGAUCCAGCCAUGCCGCGUGUGUGAAGAAGGUCUUCGGAUUGUAAAGCACUUUAAGUUGGGAGGAAGGGCAGUAAGCGAAUACCUUGCUGUUUUGACGUUACCGACAGAAUAAGCACCGGCUAACUCUGUGCCAGCAGCCGCGGUAAUACAGAGGGUGCAAGCGUUAAUCGGAAUUACUGGGCGUAAAGCGCGCGUAGGUGGUUCGUUAAGUUGAAUGUGAAAGCCCCGGGCUCAACCUGGGAACUGCAUCCAAAGCUGGCGAGCUAGAGUAGGGCAGAGGGUGGUGGAAUUUCCUGUGUAGCGGUGAAAUGCGUAGAUAUAGGAAGGAACACCAGUGGCGAAGGCGACCACCUGGGCUCAUACUGACACUGAGGUGCGAAAGCGUGGGGGGCAAACAGG